rnacentral:rRNA from 1 species
CAGCAGCCACGGUAAUACCGAGGGUGCGAGCGUUAAUCGGAUUUACUGGGCGUAAAGCGUGCGUAGGCGGCUUUUUAAGUCGGAUGUGAAAUCCCUGUGCUUAACUUAGGAAUUGCAUUCGAUACUGGGAAGCUAGAGUAUGGGAGAGGAUGGUAGAAUUCCAGGUGUAGCGGUGAAAUGCGUAGAGAUCUGGAGGAAUACCGAUGGCGAAGGCAGCCAUCUGGCCUAAUACUGACGCUGAGGUACGAAAGCAUGGGGAGCAAACAGGAUUAGAUACCCGAGUAGUCCCUGUCUCUUAUAC